ACCAACAAAUUUCUAUUAAGCUUAUUGAUUACUUUUACAAUUAAUCUUUUCCUAUUAGCUGAGACAGAGUGGAAGGAUGAUGAGUGCUGUUCUUUUCCUCCUAAUCUUCCCAUGUGACAACCAACAUUUCAAGAAGGAGACUUAAAAUGAGGUGAAAUUAAAAACUUGUUUUCUUUCCACAGAUCUACUUUGAGGUUCUGAGGAAACUUGUUUAGGUGUUGCCUUCAAGGAGGUGCAGAAUCCUGAUGGAUCUGGUGCAUGGACUGACUUCUCCUUAUGGGUCUGUUUGUCUGUAUGGGUGCACAACAGCAUUUCUUCUCAGCUGAAAAUUUACUUUUGGCCUCUUCCUGAAGCUGCGUGCUGAAGACCUUCACUGCUACAUUCUAAUUAAUUUCUCUUCAGGUGAAAAAUGCAAAUUCUUAUGCCAUGUGGAUCAUGUCAGCUUCUACCACAAGGAUUAUGCAAUCCAUCUCUGAACCACUGCAAGGAAACUCACUGUCAAGGAUUGGCAGAAGAGGAACAGAAUGCUCAACAUAGGAUACUGUAUCUCUGUGCCAUGGCAGCACUGUGCGAAGUAGUUACAGCUUGAGUGCUGCGCCUGUUGGAUGGAAUUUUGUCUCCACUGACUUCUUCCAAAUGAAGUGCUGAAGGUGAUGAGCGAAAAGGUGAGGUUGGCUCCAUCUCUCCCCUCUACAGAAAUGACUCCUGAAGAAUGCGUCCGCUUGCAUAAUGGUGACCACUUCCUAAUGCUGAGGUUAAAGAAUUACCGUAACUUUCAAACUUCCAGGUUGGUCUCUGGUGCUGUCACCUGCCAUCCUAUGUACAUUCUUGAAGGUUUAGUGUGCAGUCAGGCAUUGAGUUUUCUCGUACAGAAAGAACAAGGGAGAAAUGCUUUGAUGAGAGCAGGCUCUUUGCAGAAGUGGUUUAUCAGGCAGCUUGCACUGCUGUUCAUUCCCAGCUGUGGAGGCCACGGUAAGAAAACAAUAUUUGGUAACAGGGAAAAGUGAUAACCCUGAUUGCCCCUUGGCUGUUUAUCCCAUACAGUAGCCACAACGUAGAGAAACUGCAGAUUAAGUAACACCGACAGCCAGUCCCAGAAGCACUGGAACUAUUCAGAGAGAAUUUUUGAAGAUGCAAAGAGUAAAGAAAGAGGCACAAUGAAUCAGCUGCAUUUUACAUCACUCAGCAUUUUUGUUGCCAUUGCAUAUGUUUUUAAUCAGCCGAGAUAACUGUUACAGAAGCAGAGCUUUUUUAUUUUCCAUAUCAAUGCAGUUUCUGCUGCACUUGUACAGCUGUAAAGUAACUGGCUCUGAGACACCAAUCUCUCCAUUCAUAUUUCAUGAAUGUGGGCAUCUCAGCCUCUGAAGUUGUGUGAAUGGAGUCAUGUGAUUUUCUUUCACGUUUCCCUAUGUCUAACUUGAUCGUGCACUACGUACCUGAGAGUAAUCAACAGCAAUGUCAGUGACUUGUUUUUGUCUCCUUUGGUGCCUAAGCAGUUGGCUUUCAAAGGAGCUUGAGCAGGAAUGUACUGAUAAUAUCAUCCAGGAAGUUUCUCCACAUUACGGCAGAUUUGAAAAUAUUUCUAAUUGAUUAUGUUUUUACUUACAGAAAGGUAAUACAGGAAAAGGAAAUCAAUAUUUAUGUGAAGGGGCUUGAGAGUAGCCUAUGAAAAGAUUGAUGAGCAUUUAUCCAUUGUAUAAAAUGUCACAGUCACAGAGUCAAAUAAGUUUUACUCAGUUUAAUAGAGUUACCCUCAACAACAGAGAAUUCAUUCUCUCUCUCUCUCUUUCUCUUUAUCUAUGCAUACACAUAUUUGAAUUAGGCAAAUGAUCUCACUUACAUACUUGGUAAAUACCACAACCCAAAGGAACUUUUCCUCCUGAAAGGCAGUAGAAAAAAAAAAAUCAUACCUGCAUUUAAGACCAUGAAAGAUGGCUUAGUAGCACAGAAAUUUGGAAAAUAUCUUUAUGCUCUCCAGAGGGGUCCCUAUUACAGAGUAAUCAAGCAACUUUUUCAAUAAAAGUGUGCAUCUUUCUGAAGGAAAAGACUAGUCAUAUAUAUAGUCUAUACACUAUUGUUAUUAUACACUAUUUGUGAUACUUAACAAAAA